AGGAAGGGGGGGGGGGGAGGCCUGCUUGCCGCCAUGCUGGGGACCAGAAGAGGGAGCUAAGGGAGGGAGGAGGGUGGAAAAGAUGGGAACAGGGGACCUGGGAACUUGCCCUUGAAGGAGGAGGCAAGGAGAUUCCAGGGGAGGGAACAGUAUUUGCAGAGCCAGGGAAGCAUGAAGGAGUGGGCCAGGGUGUUUACAGAGGGAGGAGGGGCAAGGUGGGAAUCAGGUUCAACCCCCACCCCAGAGCAGUCCCCACCCUGUUUCGACUUCCCUUGUCGCCUAACCCAGACUUCCCUGGUCUCCUUACCCACUUUAGUUUCGGGGAACAGAUCCCUCCUUCAUGACUGCCUCGUGCCCUGUCUCUUCUCUCCUUCCUCUUGAGUCCACCCUCCUCCAGGCUCCUGGAAUUUGCUGGACACCUGACAAAGCCUGGGAGGCAGGUUGGGAGAAUUUCAGGAGAUUAAAUGUGAUGGGAUGCGGGAAGGCACCGGGCAUGGCCUGAGGCGGCGAAGGAAUUCCCUCCCGAGGGUCCCAGCCUGGAUACCAGAACCCUUUUCUCACUCUCACUGACAUAGCCUGGGCCCGCUUUCUUGGGGGUCUCCCCAUGGCUGUUUUCCUUCUGACAGCACCGAGGCCCCUUGCUGCCACCAGCUCCCCCAUAAGACCAUGGGCUUCCUGUAACUGGGGGCUGUGCCUCCCUCUUCCACCACCGUCGUGGUUGCCAACACCAUUCAGGGAAUAAACUUCAACUCACUCUCUGAGAUACAGAUUUCCCCAGGUGUCCUGUGUUUUUUGUUUUCUCCUCUCCCCCUGGGUGUCCCAUAGUUUUGUGCACUAAAUUUGGCAACACUAACUAACUGCCGUACCCCUGGGGCCCAGCUCAGCGUCUGACAUGGCUUUCGUGCUCAGUAAAUGUUAGCUGAAGGAAUCAUGGUGGCAGUGACGGUGGGGGGCACAGGUGUUGUGGGGCACAAAGGACAGGCAGCAGGCUCCCUAGAGGUGAUACCUGAGUCCUGGCAGAUGGCGCCAGUAGGUCAUGGCCUCAGCCUGCUCCUCCACAGAGGUGCCUCCUAUAAUGGGCUUGAAUAGUGCCCCAGAAGAUAUUUUUUUAAAAGAUUUUACUUACUAGAGAGAGAGAG